rnacentral:rRNA from 1 species
CUACGGGACGCUGCAGUGGGGAAUAUUGCACAAUGGAGGAAACUCUGAUGCAGCAACGCCGCGUGGAGGAUGACACUUUUCGGAGCGUAAACUCUUUUUAUAUAGGAAGAAGAUGACGGUACUAUAUGAAUAAGCGCCGGCUAACUCCGUGCCAGCAGCCGCGGUAAUACGGAGGGCGCAAGCGUUACUCGGAAUCACUGGGCGUAAAGAGCAUGUAGGCGGAUUAAAAAGUCAGAAGUGAAAUCCUAUAGCUUAACUAUAGAACUGCUUCUGAAACUCUUAAUCUAGAAUAUGGGAGAGGUAGAUGGAAUUUCUGGUGUAGGGGUAAAAUCCGUAGAGAUCAGAAGGAAUACCGAUUGCGAAGGCGAUCUACUAGAACAUUAUUGACGCUGAGACGCGAAAGCGUGGGGAGCAAACAGGAUUAGAUACCCUUGUAGUC